GACGAACGCUGGCGGCACGCCUAACACAUGCAAGUCGAGCGGGGUAUUACGCUGUGAAGCCUUCGGGUGGAACUUGUAAUACUUAGCGGCGGACGGGUGAGUAACACGUGAGCAACCUACCCUAAAGUGGGGAAUAACAUCCGGAAACGGGUGCUAAUACCGCAUAAUACAGAGAGAAGGCAUCUUUUUUCUGUCAAAGAUUUAUCACUUUGGGAUGGGCUCGCGCCUGAUUAGAUAGUUGGUGGGGUAAUGGCCUACCAAGUCGACGAUCAGUAGCCGGACUGAGAGGUUGAUCGGCCACAUUGGGACUGAGACACGGCCCAGACUCCUACGGGAGGCAGCAGUGGGGGAUAUUGCACAAUGGGGGAAACCCUGAUGCAGCGAUGCCGCGUGAACGAAGACGGUCUUCGGAUUGUAAAGUUCUGUCAACGGGGACGAUAAUGACGGUACCCGUGGAGGAAGCCACGGCUAACUACGUGCCAGCCGCCGCCGCAGUAAC
rnacentral:rRNA from 1 species